rnacentral:lncRNA from 1 species
UCACUAAUGAAAACUGCACAUUGCAACCAGAAACGGGCCCAUGCCGGGCUAUGAUAUCUAGGUGGUAUUUUGACACCAAUAAUAGUACGUGCACGCCAUUUUUCUAUGGUGGUUGUGAGGGAAAUGGAAAUAACUUUGACACACAAGAUGAGUGUAAACAAAAUUGCUCUGGAGCUGGACUACAGAGGCGAUACCGUAAACGUGAAAAUUGCACAUUGAAACCAGAAGCCGGUCCAUGCAGGGCAAUGUUACCUAGGUGGUAUUUUGACUCUAACAGUAGCACUUGCGAGCAAUUUUUCUAUGGUGGUUGUGGGGGAAAUGGAAAUAACUUUGAUACACCAGAUAAGUGUAAAAGAAAAUGCUUUGAGAAGAAAAAAAAGCGCACCAAUAGAAAGGCUAAAGAGGAUAUGACGAAACAAAAGUUGCUUCAAUAAAUAAAUUGUCCACAACCACA